AUAGAAAUAGACCAUGUAGAACAUAUGUUGAUUCUUAUCAAGUUGGUGGGCAGGCAAUCUUUUCUACUCCAUAUAUUGCAUUUAUAUCUGUAAUGAUUAACCCUAAUGGUCUCAGAUCAGCAGUAGAAAGAAGUAGGCCUAAUUAUUUUAGGUUUUACAAUGCUCCUGGGAAAUGGGUAGGCCUCCACCUAUAGUCCUUCACAGUUUUACAGCUGUGAUAUAUUUAUUUAUUUACAUAGAUCACAUACAUAAAUAAAUAUGUUAGCUGUAGGCAGCGUUGAGAUAAAAUUCCCAUAUUCUAUUGCUACUAACAUAAAUCCUACUAUAUCAUGUUUUCCUCAUUUGCUCUGUAGGAGGUUCGUCAUAUGAAGGACAUUCAAGUGGAUGUGACCCCUAACCUGCAAUAGGGGCUUAGUGAGGUGACAGACAUCCUGUAAUGGAUCUCCAGCUAGUGUCUGAGGACCUGGAGAAGGCUGUGUCUACAGCUGUGGGGCAGGACAAGCAUGGGACAGACAUCCUGAACGACUCUGAUGUCAGAGCUCCCAUCAGCCCUCUACACCUCACUGCGUACCACAGUCCCCACUAUGCUAUGGAGGUCCUGGUUCAGUCUCUGCUGGAUCUAGACGUGAGGGACAGCCAGGGGCGCACCCCUCUGGACCUGGCUGCCUUAAAAAGCAUGUGGAGUGUGUUGACGUCCUCAUCAACCAGGAAGCCUCCAUCCUGGUUAAAGACUUCACUCUGAAGAGGACCCCCAUCCACGCUGCAGCCUGGUUAUUACCAGUUUGUAAUAUGACCUGUUGUCGGUGCUGAGCGGAUACACAGACUGUGUGUACUCACUGUUCAACAAGGGAGCCAGCGUAGAAGCCAAAGACAAAUGGCACAGAACAGCUCUACACAGAAGGGUUGUGAGGAGCGUUGGCUGUACGCGCUCACACACAGAAAGAGAGGGGGAGGCACAACGCCAGCUUCCUGGUUCGGGAAGGUAAGGGGCGGAGCCAUGUCCACCUGGUGGCGGCGUCCGGACACAUCGGGGUGCUGGGGUGGCUCCUACACACCGCCCAGUCAGUGUGGACCCUCCCCGUCAUCACAGACAACCAGGGCUACACGCCACUACACUGGGCCUGCUACAACGGUAUGUACUGGACAGAGGGACGGCGAAGUGGGCCAGAGGCCACAAACAAAUACACACAUAAACAUAGCGUGUCUUAAAUCACCACAGCCAGCUUCAGGAGGGCACGAACCGAGACAGUCCGCACAGGAACCUUAAGAGUCCCUCAGACAGAGAGAGAGAAGAGGGAGGGAUAGGGGGAGGCACAACAGGCCCACACUCAUCCUCUCGUACCACCAGGUUCCCUUCCAGCAGAUACUGGACUUCAGAGGAACUGCUGCUGCUAUACCCCAUCUUUACCUUUACCCACAAAGGUCCUAAACGGUAGAAAGUGUCCGGCCAACAGACAGACGCACACCUUAUGACGGCAAUAACCUGUAGUCCAAGGGGAUAGUAGCACUUCACUGAGAGCAAAACAGACAGGGACCAAAAGAUGUGGAAGAAGCAUUUUCAAAACCAGUUUUGACUGUAGAAAUUGGGCUGAGUGUUUGUUCUGAGAAAAGACAUAAGGAGUGAUGUUUCAUUUAAGUUUCAUGAGAGUGAUUGUCAUGUUUAUCCGCACACUAAGACAGUCAGAACACACCUAGCCUCUUGUCUGUAAUCCACGUGGGAGGAGGGGAAAUCAUACAUUUUGUAUGAACAAAUAUUUUAAUAAAAUCAUUCAUGUCUUAAGCUCUGUGGGAAUAAAAAAAUGGUAGCAUUUGCUCUGAUGGGUAAUUGUAAAGAUUUAAUGCAUCCC